GGGCCAUAGCUCAGUGACAGAGCAUCUGUGCAGCAAGCAGAAGAUCGCGGGUUCAAUCCCUGGCAACUCCA